rnacentral:rRNA from 1 species
AGCGAACGCUGGCGGCAGGCCUAACACAUGCAAGUCGAACGGAUCCUUCGGGAUUAGUGGCGGACGGGUGAGUAACACGUGGGAACGUGCCCUUUGGUUCGGAACAACUCAGGGAAACUUGAGCUAAUACCGGAUGUGCCCUUCGGGGGAAAGAUUUAUCGCCAUUGGAGCGGCCCGCGUCUGAUUAGCUAGUUGGUGAGGUAACGGCCCACCAAGGCGACGAUCAGUAGCUGGUCUGAGAGGAUGAUCAGCCACACUGGGACUGAGACACGGCCCAGACUCCUACGGGAGGCAGCAGUGGGGAAUCUUGCGCAAUGGGCGAAAGCCUGACGCAGCCAUGCCGCGUGAAUGUUGAAGGUCUUAGGAUUGUAAAAUUCUUUCAGCGGGGACGAUAAUGACGGUACCCGCAGAAGAAGCUCCGGCUAACUUCGUG